rnacentral:rRNA from 1 species
AGAGUUUGACUCUAGGCUACGAGACGACGCUGGCGGCGUGCGUAACACAUGCAAGUCGAACGCUGAAGCCUGGCUUGUGUUGGUGGAUGAGUGGCGAACGGGUGAGUAACACGUGAGUAACCUGCCUCUUCUUCGGGAUAACGGUCUGAAAGGGCUGCUAAUACCGGGUAUUCACUGGUCUUCGCGAUGGGGGUUGGUGGAAAGGGUUUUCUGGUGGGGGAUGGGCUCGCGGCUUAUCAGCUUGUUGGUGGGGUGAUGGCUUACCAAGGCUUUGACGGGUAGCCGGCCUGAGAGGGUGACCGGUCACAUUGGGACUGAGAUACGGCCCAGACUCCUACGGGAGGCAGCAGUGGGGGAUAUUGCACAAUGGGCGCAAGCCUGAUGCAGCGACGCCGCGUGAGGGAUGGAGGCCUUCGGGUUGUGAACCUCUUCCGCCUGUGGUCAAGCCGCAACUGUGGGUUGUGGUGAGUGUAGUGGGUAAAGAAGCGCCGGCUAACUACGUG